rnacentral:tRNA from 2 species
GUCCAAGUAGCUCAGUGGAUAGAGCUCCUCCCUGCUAAGGAGGUGGUCGCGGGUUCGAGUCCCGCCUUGAAAA